GGCCCAUCCAUGGGCCUUCCUAACAUAAUACGCCUGGGCCUACAAGCCAAAGGCACAACUCGCAUCCCACGCCCCCAUGGCCCACAAACCACCACAAAGAAAAGAUCGGCCGCAUCGGGCCAUCGCCGCAUCGAUCGCCUUCCGCGCCGCCACGCCGCAGCGGCGGACUGACGACGCCGUCCGCCGCGCUCCGGCGUCCCGCUCGCCGCCGGCCUUCUACCAUGACGAUCCGCAGCCCUAGAUAUGCAGCGUGCCUGGAGGUGUAGAUCACACGCAACGCAAGUCCCAACGGCUAGGCUCGAUGAUGAGAUGCUUCUGUUUCUUUCCCGAUUCACAGCCAUGAAGAUGAAAUCCCCCUUCAUCAGAUUCAGAAUCUAUCAACUUUACCUCGCGAUUAGCCGAUUACUACUGCAAUCCUGAUGAACCUUAUCCGGGACCAUGAUAAUUAAGCCGUUCCAUUCAAUUCAAAGAUGAGGUUGAAGUUGCAGCCACCCAGCUUGCUACUGCAGAAGCUGACUGCACAACUAAUGUGCAUUUACAUAGACUAAUACUGACUCACUGAGACCCUGUUUAGAUGGGACUAAAACUUUUAAGUCCUUAUCACAUCGGAUAUUUGUCACUAAUUAUAAAUAUUAAACGUAGACUAUUAAUAAAACCCAUAAAUAAUCUUGGACUAAU